CCCACCUUCCAAUUUAUCCAACCUCCAGAUUCCAAUCUACACCGGCAUCACCACCCCGCGCACCGCCCAUUCCGGCACCCCGCGUGGUGGCAGCCUCACCCUCAAUCUCCGCCCUCCGCCGCUUGCUCCGCCCGCCGAUGACUCCCGUUUUCCUCCACCAGCAAGUUCGCUCGUUGGAGCCCAGUCAGCGUCGUCAUCCUCACCGUCACGAAGCCGUGCUCGCCCAAACGUCGUCCUCACCGUCACGAAGCCGUGCUUGCCCCAACGCCGUCCUCACCGUCAUGAAGCCGUAUCCAUACCGGUCUCAAACUUCACCUAAAGCACCGCCGCAUGUCUCGUCAGUACACCACCCUGCAAGCAACUAUCGCCUCCAUCAAGCAUCUUCAGUCUCCACCACGUCAACCAGGUGAUCCCUUGAUUCGCAUAGCCCCUAUAGUUUAUCAUUAAAUCAACCAAAGUGGCCUCCUUCAUUUAUAUGCAUCUGAAGUCUCGAUCCUCUUCUCCCAUCGUCUCCUUACUUCCUUCCUGUAGGCAAUGCACUCUAAGUGUUUGGUGAAUUGUUUGCUUGCCCAGAAUUCAAUUCUGACAAAUAUUCUUGAAAAUAUGUGAGCAACUGUUUGGUCUAAUCAAAUUUUACAUGUCAAAACUCAACAGCAGUACAAAUGGUGUUAGAUAGACUAGCCAAAUAAUCUCAGAUUCCAUUUAUGCUGGAGCAUAAAGCAUGAUAAUGUUUGGUUAUACAGGCUGCAACGAGCUAUGCUAUUUUGUAGUAAUUUUAAACGAAGAAAGACUAUAUACGCCUCUGCUUCAUCUGCUAAAUGCGCCCCUCUGAAGUUUUCCAUGAACGUUCUGUCCUGCAAAACGUGUCGAUUCGCUGUUCUGUAAUCUGUUUAAUUCAGUACUGCCGUUUGUAUGCACCUGCGUCCACAUCGUAUUCGUGUAUUACCUACAGCUCAUCUGACUCGUAUAUCAGUAUUUGGUACUUUAGCUACAAAUCCCAAUGAGCACCCGGAACCAAACGUCCGCCUCCGGCUUGUAUAGGCCAUUUUUGUCGGAAGAUCACCUUAUUCAUGGCUGGAAUCCAAUCUGUACCAUUUGCUAGAAGUAGACUCUCUUUAAAAAUAGGUACCAAUAUGUUUCUAUCUAAUCUGUACCGUUUUCUAGAAGUAGAUUCUCUGUAUCAUAAAUUUUUACCAUUAUUUUUCUAUGCCUCGACGGCUUUGAAGCCUAAACAUCCCAGAGUAGGCUGCUGCAAGUGAAAACCAGAUGAAGAAAAUUUACAAGGCCCUCCAGAGAUUGAUGAUAUAUUAGCAAAAAGCCUCCGGAAUCUACUAGCCAAAUUAAAAUAAUUUGGCCAAAUGGAGAUGUGCGGCGGAUUAUAGGGGAAUUCUGAGGUUGGCUACCAUUCUCUGUCAGCAUCUUACUUGGCUUGCUGAGAACUCAACAUUUGCACCAUUGCAUAUUCCGAGAUGUGACAAUGAAUUGUUUCUGCAGAAAGCAUGGGCAGAUGAUCACAGAUGUGGAGGUUGAUCUCAACGAAAGAGUUGCUGGCAAUGACCUCCCAAAUGAAUCACAUAACAUAGUUGAAGAAUAACCUGGCAAUAUGCAUGCUCCAUUGAGUGCUCUAUAGGAACUACAUCCUAGCAAUUGUGUGAGAGCCAAAGAGUGUUAUACCGGUUUAUCAUUGCCAACUGGUUGCUAAGAAAGCACACAUUGAGAAGUAUAUCGUACCAAACACUGGGUAGCUCAUGAUUUAAAAAAGGAGUGCAUUGCAGGAGCCAGGAGCAACAACAGAAGAAUUAGUUUUUAAAUGGACAAAUAUUAUGUGUUAUGUAAAGGAUUUAGCUUCAUCACAAAACUUAGUUCUAGUGUUGUAUGAUAUUUUCUUUAUUGUUUGCAUCUUUCAUAUUAAUGUCUGAUUUAAUUCAUUUUAGAACUCAAGAUGUUUAUUCUUACUAAUUGAUAUUGUGCGAAUGCUUGUGAAUACAACUGGUGCUAUGGGUGGAUCCCUUUACAUAAUAUUUGUUGCCUAUUAAUGUG